rnacentral:tRNA from 1 species
GCGGGCGUAGCUCAAUUGGUAGAGCACCACCUUGCCAAGGUGGAUGUUGCGCGUUCGAAUCGCGUCGCCCGCUCCA